AUGGCCGGGCUGAGCGGCGCGCAGAUCCCCGAUGGGGAGUUCACCGCCGUCGUGUACCGCCUCAUCCGCGAUUCCCGCUACGCCGAGGCGGUGCAGCUGCUGGGCGGCGAGCUCCAGCGGAGCCCGAGGAGCCGCGCCGGCCUGUCGCUGCUGGGCUACUGCUACUACCGCCUGCAGGAGUUCGCGCUGGCCGCCGAGUGCUAUGAGCAGCUGGGCCAGCUGCACCCCGAACUGGAGCAGUACCGCCUGUACCAGGCCCAGGCCCUGUACAAGGCCUGCCUUUACCCAGAGGCCACCCGGGUGGCCUUCCUCCUGCUGGACAACCCCGCCUACCACAGCCGGGUCCUCCGUCUGCAAGCCGCGAUCAAGUACAGCGAGGGCGACCUGCCCGGGGCCAAGAGCCUGGUGGAGCAGCUGCUGAGUGGGGAGGGGGGAGAGGACAGCGGGGGCGAGAACGAGCCCGACGGCCAGGUCAACCUGGGUUGUUUGCUCUACAAGGAGGGCCAGUAUGAAGCCGCGUGCGCCAAGUUCUUUGCGGCCCUCCAGGCUUCGGGCUACCGGCCUGACCUUUCCUACAACCUGGCUUUGGCCUACUACAGCCGCCGGCACUAUGCCCCGGCGCUCAAGUACAUCGCCGACAUCAUUGAGCGUGGCAUCCGCCAGCACCCGGAGCUAGGUGUGGGCAUGACCACGGAGGGCAUUGACGUUCGAAGCGUUGGCAACACCUUAGUCCUUCACCAGACUGCCCUGGUGGAAGCCUUCAACCUCAAGGCAGCCAUCGAGUACCAACUGAGAAACUAUGAGGCGGCCCAGGAGGCCCUCACUGACAUGCCACCUCGGGCAGAAGAAGAGUUAGACCCCGUGACCCUGCACAACCAGGCGCUCAUGAACAUGGAUGCCAGGCCUACGGAGGGGUUUGAAAAGCUACAGUUUUUGCUCCAACAGAACCCCUUUCCCCAGAGACCUUUGGCAACCUGCUGUUGCUCUACUGCAAGUAUGAGUAUUUUGACCUGGCAGCCGAUGUCCUGGCAGAGAACGCCCAUUUGACCUACAGGUUGCUCACACCCUAUCUCUAUGACUUCCUGGAUGCCAUGAUCACUUGCCAGACAGCCCCCGAAGAGGCUUUCAUCAAGCUUGAUGGGCUAGCGGGGAUGCUGACCGAACAGCUCCGGAGACUCACCAUACAAGUACAGGAAGCAAGACACAACAGGGAUGACGAAGCUGUCAAAAAGACAGUGAAUGAGUACGAUGACACUCUGGAGAAGUAUAUUCCCGUGUUGAUGGCCCAGGCAAAGAUCUACUGGAACCUGGAGAAUUAUCCAAUGGUGGAAAAGAUCUUCCGCAAAUCUGUGGAAUUCUGUAACGACCAUGAUGAUGUGUGGAAGCUGAAUGUGGCUCACGUCCUGUUCAUGCAGGAAAACAAAUACAAAGAAGCUAUCGGUUUCUAUGAACCCAUAGUCAAGAAGCAUUAUGACAACAUCCUGAACGUCAGUGCUAUUGUGCUGGCUAACCUGUGUGUUUCAUACAUUAUGACAAGUCAGAAUGAAGAAGCUGAGGAGUUGAUGAGAAAGAUCGAAAAGGAGGAGGAGCAGCUGUCCUAUGAUGACCCAGAUAAGAAAAUCUACCACCUCUGCAUUGUGAAUUUGGUGAUAGGGACCCUCUAUUGUACCAAAGGAAAUUAUGACUUUGGUAUUUCUCGGGUUAUCAAAAGCCUGGAACCUUACCAUAAGAAACUGGGAACUGAUACCUGGUUUUAUGCCAAAAGAUGUUUCCUGUCCUUAUUAGAAAACAUGUGAUCGUGCUUCGUGACAGUGUUGUGUGUCCAGUUUCUAGAACAAUGUGAACUUUGUGGCAGGAACAUACCUGCCAUUACUGAACAACCCCUGGAAGAAGAAAGAAUGCAUACUGGAAAGAAUACAGUCACCUAUGAAUCCAGACAGUUAAAAGCUUUGAUUUACAGAGGGGGAGAUGAACCAUGAGAGACAAUG